rnacentral:misc_RNA from 1 species
UAGCCUUAAGGAGGAAUUUCAAUUAAUCAAAUUGCUCUUAGAGAGCAACAAAAUACGAGAGAGUCAACAAAUUUUCAUUCAAUUAUGUGAAAGUUUAUUUAAUUGUGUGCAAAUAUUUACUAUAUAUACAUAUAUACAUGUAUUUUCUCCCAAUACAAUGGAACCUCGAUUAUCAGAACAAAAGAGGGAUUAUCGUUUAUUAUGGGAACAUCGAUGGAAAGAGGCAUGCCUUGUUACGAGGAAGAUUUGGAAACGAGAAUAGAGAGAAACUAAAAAAGUCGAUACAUCAUUGUAAAGAAGUUAUGUUCCUUUGUUACGUGUUAACAUCUAC